GAUGAACGCUGGCGGCGUGCCUAAUACAUGCAAGUCGAGCGAACAGACGAGGAGCUUGCUCCUCUGACGUUAGCGGCGGACGGGUGAGUAACACGUGGAUAACCUACCUAUAAGACUGGGAUAACUUCGGGAAACCGGAGCUAAUACCGGAGAAUAUAUUGAACCGCAUGGUUCAAUAGUGAAAGACGGUUUUGCUGUCACUUAUAGAUGGAUCCGCGCCGCAUUAGCUAGUUGGUAAGGUAACGGCUUACCAAGGCAACGAUGCGUAGCCGACCUGAGAGGGGGAUAGGCCACACGGGAACUGAGACACGGUCCAGACUCCUACGGGAGGCAGCAGUAGGGAAUCUUCCGCAAUGGGCGAAAGCCUGACGGAGCAACGCCGCGUGAGUGAUGACGGUCUUCGGAUCGUAAAACUCUGUUAUUAGGGAAGAACCAAUGUGUAAGUAACUAUGCACGUAUUGACGGUACCUAAUCAGAAAGCCACGGCUAACUACGUG
rnacentral:rRNA from 1 species